CACGUAGGGCGCGAGCGUUGUCCGGAAUUAUUGGGCGUAAAGAGCUCGUAGGCGGCCUGUUGCGUCUGCUGUGAAAUCCCGGGGCUCAACCCCGGGCGUGCAGUGGAUACGGGCUGGCUAGAGGCAGGCAGGGGAGAACGGAAUUCCCGGUGUAGCGGUGAAAUACGUAGAUAUCAGGAGGAACACCGGUGGCGAAGGCGGCGACCUGGUCCUAUACUGACACUCAUACACGAAAGCGUGGGGAUCAAACAGG
rnacentral:rRNA from 1 species